rnacentral:tRNA from 1 species
UUCAUAUAUAAAGGAAUACCCUUUUAUUAGAA